CAGCAGCCGCGGGAAAACGAAGGGUGCAAGCGUUACUCGGAAUUACUGGGCGUAAAGCGUGCGUAGGUGGUGGUUUAAGUCCGUUGUGAAAGCCCUGGGCUCAACCUGGGAAUUGCAGUGGAUACUGGGUCACUAGAGUGUGGUAGAGGAUAGUGGAAUUUCCGGUGUAGCAGUGAAAUGCGUAGAGAUCGGAAGGAACAUCUGUGGCGAAGGCGACUAUCUGGGCCAACACUGACACUGAGGCACGAAAGCGUGGGGAGCAAACAGGAUUAGAUACCCGGGUAGUCCCUGUCUCUUAUAC
rnacentral:rRNA from 1 species